rnacentral:lncRNA from 1 species
UCCUCCAAAAACCCUAGAACUUGAAGCUAAUUUGGGGGGGGUUUUUGUGAUUUCUUCUUUCCAAGCUUAAAUCAAGGUAAUAUCCCUCCUAAUCUAGCCUCUAUUCAUCUGAUCUACGCCUAUUUCUUCCUAAAUCCGAGUUUUUGAUUUGGAUUUGUGAUUUUGUUUGCAUGAACCCGAUUUCUCCUUAAACCAUGAAGCUAGGCUAUGGGUUUGGCAAGGAUUUUUGGUGAAGAAGGCCAAGGAGAAGGAAUAGGCCGUGAUUUUUGAAGAAGAAAGGGAAACACGAUCGUUAAGAAAGCUUAAGCGGAAAGCAUUAGAGUGUGGAGUACGCCAGCAUUUUCCAGGUUACAACGAGGUCAUUCCAGACGAUUUGGAUUAGAAGUGGGUCGUUGGCCGAGUUCGUGUGUUGCUGUUCCUGUUGCUUGAAGUUCUUCCCUUUUGGUAUUCCAUCGAUUUACUCGUUUUUCAUUCUAUGUUGAACUCUGUGAGGUUCGCCUACCUGGGAGCGCGCCUCACCC